rnacentral:rRNA from 1 species
GACGAACGCUGGCGGCGCGCCUAACACAUGCCAGUCGAACGGAGCUGAGAGAAGCUUGCUUUUCUUAGCUUAGUGGCGAACGGGUGAGUAACGCGUGAGUAACCUGCCCUGGAGUGGGGGACAACAGUUGGAAACGACUGCUAAUACCGCAUAAGCCCACGAUCCGGCAUCGGAUUGAGGGAAAAGGAUUUAUUCGCUUCAGGAUGGACUCGCGUCCAAUUAGCUAGUUGGUGAGGUAACGGCCCACCAAGGCGACGAUUGGUAGUCGGACUGAGAGGUUGAACGGCCACAUUGGGACUGAGACACGGCCCAGACUCCUACGGGAGGCAGCAGUGGGGGAUAUUGCACAAUGGGGGAAACCCUGAUGCAGCGACGCCGCGUGGAGGAAGAAGGUUUUCGGAUUGUAAACUCCUGUCGUUAGGGACGAUAAUGACGGUACCUAACAAGAAAGCACCGGCUAACUACGUG